GGGAGAGCAAACCAGUUUGACUUAGCACUUUGCUUGAAACUGAGGCAUCUUGGAUGUGAAAUUGCAGGAGGCUCCAUCCUAUUGACUGAAGUCCUUUUUGGGGGCGUAAUCUUCUCACCCACAUGAAAUGCCUGUCAUGUGGCCAGACCCUAGGAGAUGAGUUUAACGCAGCAGAUCACAUGAAUUGAUCCAGGCAAGCCUGUUGCUUCUGGGCCCAAGAAUCCAGGAGUCCCUGUCCAUCUUAUGUGGCCUUCCCCUCUCCGCUCCACACCCAUCUGGUCGCAAAGGAGCAAAGAAGCCUCCUCAGCAGAAGAGAAUGCUUGUCCUUCCUGCCUUCCUGCCUCCCAGGGAGCUUCCUUCAGCUCCUGCAUCAUCUGUGCCCUCCACACAACCUGGCCCAUAAAAACCUCCAACGUGCAUCACUCAUGAUUCUACCAGAUGACUGGGAUGGCAAUACUCAUGAUGACUUUGAAAGCCACAUGUUGAAGAUGACAAAGAAGUAUCAGCAUGAAUCUCUGACAGUGGAUUCCCCAGGAUCCCCUGUUGUUACCCCUAAUCUGAAAUUGCCUUCGAAUGUUAUAUGAGAGAGAAAAAUAAACAUUUAUUCUUUUGAGCCCUUACAUGUUUGAGACUAUUUGUUGCUGUAGACUAAUCUACCAUAAUUAAUAUGUUACAUCUUCUGCCUCACCUACCCACAAUACUGU
rnacentral:lncRNA from 1 species